GAUGAACGCUAGCGGCAGGCUUAAUACAUGCAAGUCGAGGGACAGCACAGGUAGCAAUACUGGGUGGUAACCGGCAAACGGGUGCGGAACACGUACACAACCUUCCUUUAAGUGGGGGAUAGCCCAGAGAAAUUUGGAUUAAUACCCCGUAAUAUAGUUUGAUGGCAUCAUCGGACUAUUAUAGCUACGGCGCUUAAUGAUGGGUGUGCGGCUGAUUAGAUAGUUGGCGGGGUAACGGCCCACCAAGUCUACGAUCAGUAGCUGAUGUGAGAGCAUGAUCAGCCACACGGGCACUGAAACACGGGCCCGACUCCUACGGGGGGCAGCAGUAAGGAAUAUUGGUCAAUGGACGCAAGUCUGAACCAGCCAUGCCGCGUGAAGGAUUAAGGUCCUCUGGAUUGUAAACUUCUUUUAUUUGGGACGAAAAAGGGUCUUUCUAGACCAACUGACGGUACCAGAUGAAUAAGCACCGGCUAACUCCGUGCCAGCCGCCGCAGUAAUAC
rnacentral:rRNA from 1 species